UGGGGAAUAUUGCACAAUGGGCGCAAGCCUGAUGCAGCCAUGCCGCGUGUGUGAAGAAGGCCUUCGGGUUGUAAGCACUUUCAGCGAGGAGGAAGGUGGUGAGCUUAAUACGCUCAUCAAUUGACGUUACUCGCAGAAGAAGCACCGGCUAACUCCGUGCCAGCAGCCGCGGUAAUACGGAGGGUGCAAGCGUUAAUCGGAAUUACUGGGCGUAAAGCGCACGCAGGCGGUUUGUUAAGUCAGAUGUGAAAUCCCCGGGCUCAACCUGGGAACUGCAUUUGAAACUGGCAAGCUAGAGUCUCGUAGAGGGGGGUAGAAUUCCAGGUGUAGCGGUGAAAUGCGUAGAGAUCUGGAGGAAUACCGGUGGCGAAGGCGGCCCCCUGGACGAAGACUGACGCUCAGGUGCGAAAGCGUGGGGCAGCAAACAGGAUUAGAUACCCUGGUAGUCCAGCGCUGUAAACGAUGUCGAUUUGGAGGUUGUGCCCUUGAGGCGUGGGCUUCCGGAGCUAACGCGUUAAAUCGACCGCCUGGGGGAGUACGGCCGCAAGGUUAAAACUCAAAUGAAUUGACGGGGUC
rnacentral:rRNA from 1 species